UGGAAAAAGUAAAAAAUACCAUGAAAAAUUUAUGAAAAUCUAAGAAUACCCCUCCACUCCUUUACCACCAGGAAAACAAAAAACCAUAAACACCUUCAUUAAAUCAAUCAAAAUCCAAGACAAGUGGCACCCCAUUGUUUGCCUCAAUUAAAAGCGUAACCAACCCAAUUAAAGGCCAUGCAUCAAUCAAUUGAACACAACACAUGGCAAUCAAUUAGACUCCUCCG
rnacentral:lncRNA from 1 species